UAGGGAAUCUUCGGCAAUGGGGGCAACCCUGACCGAGCAACGCCGCGUGAGUGAAGAAGGUUUUCGGAUCGUAAAGCUCUGUUGUAAGUCAAGAACGAGUGUGAGAGUGGAAAGUUCACACUGUGACGGUAGCUUACCAGAAAGGGACGGCUAACUACGUGCCAGCAGCCGCGGUAAUACGUAGGUCCCGAGCGUUGUCCGGAUUUAUUGGGCGUAAAGCGAGCGCAGGCGGUUUGAUAAGUCUGAAGUUAAAGGCUGUGGCUCAACCAUAGUUCGCUUUGGAAACUGUCAAACUUGAGUGCAGAAGGGGAGAGUGAAAUUCCAUGUGUAGCGGUGAAAUGCGUAGAUAUAUGGAGGAACACCGGUGGCGAAAGCGGCUCUCUGGUCUGUAACUGACGCUGAGGCUCGAAAGCGUGGGGAGCGAACAGGAUUAGAUACCCUGGUAGUCCACGCCGUAAACGAUGAGUGCUAGGUGUUGGAUCCUUUCCGGGAUUCAGUGCCGCAGCUAACGCAUUAAGCACUCCGCCUGGGGAGUACGACCGCAAGGUUG
rnacentral:rRNA from 1 species